GACGAACGCUGGCGGCGUGCUUAACACAUGCAAGUCGAACGGAAAGGCCCUGCUUUUGUGGGGUGCUCGAGUGGCGAACGGGUGAGUAACACGUGAGUAACCUGUCCUUGACUUUGGGAUAACUUCAGGAAACUGGGGCUAAUACCGGAUAGGAGCUCCUGCUGCAUGGUGGGGGAUGGAAAGUUUCGGCGGUUGGGGAUGGACUCGCGGCUUAUCAGCUUGUUGGUGGGGUAGUGGCUUACCAAGGCUUUGACGGGUAGCCGGCCUGAGAGGGUGACCGGCCACAUUGGGACUGAGAUACGGCCCAGACUCCUACGGGAGGCAGCAGUGGAGAAUAUUGCACAAUGGGCGGAAGCCUGAUGCAGCAACGCCGCGUGCGGGAUGACGGCCUUCGGGUUGUAAACCGCUUUCGCCUGUGACGAAGCGUGAGUGACGGUAAUGGGUAAAGAAGCACCGGCUAACUACGUG
rnacentral:rRNA from 1 species